GAAUGGUUUAUAAUGACAAGGCCAUGAGCCUUAUAAACUUAAUACAACUUUCAACAACGGAUCUCUUGGCUCUCGCAUCGAUGAAGAACGCAGCGAAAUGCGAUAAGUAAUGUGAAUUGCAGAAUUCAGUGAAUCAUCGAAUCUUUGAACGCACCUUGCGCCCUUUGGUAUUCCGAAGGGCAUGCCUGUUUGAGUGUCAUUAAAUUCUCAAACUCUAUGACUUUAU
rnacentral:rRNA from 1 species